AAGAUUAAGCCAUGCAAAUGUAAGAACAGCAAGCUGCCAGUCCUUGGAUGAAGCAGAAACAGUGAAUCUGUACACGGCUCAUUAAAUCAGCUUUGGUUCAAAAAGUCUUGAUCAAUUACAUGGAUAACUUUGGAAAAGCUAGAGCUAAUACAUGCCGAAAGAUUUCCUCACUGAUUUCGGUCAGGGAGGAGAUUGCACUUAUUAGAACGAGACCCUGUGAGUCUCUUUACGAGGCUCUCAGUUACUUGUUGACUCUGGAUAAGCAAAGCUGACGUCUAAAUGAGACUCUCAUUGAGACGCAUCCUUUUCAAGUGUCUGCCCUAUCAAAUUUCGAUGGUAGUCUAUACUACUACCAUGUUGAUCACGGGUAACGGGGAAUCAGGGUUCGAUUCCGGAGAGGGAGCCUGAGAAACGGCUGCCAGCUCUAAGGAAUGCAGCAGGCGCGCAAAUUGCCCACUCUCAAUUCGAGGAGGCAGUGACAAGAAAUAAUCAUGCUUUUCAACCAUUCGUAAGAAUGAGAAAAGCAAUGAGCAUGAGACGGUUAUAAAUCCUCCAGUCGAGGAUCAAUUGGAGGGCAAGUCUGGUGCCAGCAGCCGCGGUAAUUCCAGCUCCAAUAGCGUAUACUAAUGAUGUUGAUGCUUAAAAGCUCCUAGUUGGAUUUCUAGGUGGUUUCAGUGUUCAUCGCUUGAUUCCGUUUGGACUUGUAGGUAUGGGCUUCGCCUUUUCGGAGGUGUGAGUACCGCUUAUCAGGAGGGGCACGAUGACACUGCCACUUUUAUUGGUAUUGACGUGAGUUAAGGUUGUCUUGCUUUCGGGUGGGGCAAAGUCUGGCUCACGGUGCAAUCCAAAUUCAAAAUGUGUCUUCGACUCUUGGUGUGCUUCAUUGUCACGCCUUGAGAGGAGGCAUACUUUUACCUUGAAAAAAUCAAAGUGCUCAAAGCAGAUGUCCUCAGGCCUUCACGGUUUGAAGACAAUGUCUGAAUGAUGUUGCAUGGAAUAAUGGAAUAAGAUCUCGACGAUACGUGGGGUCUUGGUCGCUUCGAGAGGCAUGAUUAAAAGGGACAGACGAGGGCAUUUGUAUUGUUGGGCGAGAGGUGAAAUUCAUGGACCCCAGCAAGACAAACAAAGGCGAAAGCAUUUGCCAAGAAUGUUUUCAUUAAUCAAGAACGAAAGUUUGAGGUUCGAAGGCGAUCAGAUACCGCCCUAGUUCAAACCAUAAACGAUGCUGACCAGCAAUCAGCCUGAGCUCACGUUUUUCCAUCUUACUGACCACACUCGUUGUGGAGCCAGGGAUGGGAAGAUUGCGGUUCGGCUGGCGGCUCUCCUCAUGUACGCGAAGGCUACCGAGUUUUUGAGUUCAUGGGGGAGUAUGGUUGCAAAGCUGAAACUUAAAGGAAUUGACGGAAGGGCACCACCAGGAGUGGAGCCUGCGGCUUAAUUUGACUCAACACGGGGAAACUCACGAGGUUCGGACACUUGCAUGAUUGACAGAUUGAUAGCUCUUUCUUGAUCAAGUGGGUGGUGGUGCAUGGCCGUUCUUAGUUGGUGGAUUGAUUUGUCUGCUUAAUUGCGAUAACGAACGAGACUCUAGCCUACUUUAAAUAUGUAGUGGGAUUUGGCGAUGGGCGGUCUUGGUUGUACUUCGUGUCGGCCAAGAUUCGUUUUUCCAUUUGCUCAAAUUGCCACUAGAGCUUUGUGGUGUCCUUGCGGCGCCACAAUAGUCACUUCUUAGAGGGACUCGAGUUGAUAAAUACCAUUCAAACUCAUGAAGUGGAGCAAUAACAGGUCUGUUAUGCCCUAAGAUAUCCUCGGCUGCACGCGCGCUACACUGUUAGAGACAGCGGGCCACAUGGCGUCAGCCUUCUCCCAUGGUGCGAAAGCAUGUCUGAGCGAUUGGCGAGUUCCUUUCGGGGGAUUCGUUCAGUUGUCUCAGGCGGGGAAUCCGGUGAACCUCUUGGAGACUCUUCGAGUCAUAACGUGAUUGGGAUAGGGGAUUGCAAUUAUUGCCCUUGAACGAGGAAUUCCAAGUAUUGGCGAGUCAUCCAGCUCGUCGAGAUUACGUCCCUGCCCUUUGUACACACCGCCCGUCGCUACUACCGAUUGGAUGAGCCGGCGAGGACUUUGGAGAUGGCGAUUCGGUGAGCUCUUCGGAGCGCAUUGAAUGUGUCGUCAAAGUUGUUCGAACUGACUCAUCUAGAGGAAGUAAAAGUCGUAA
rnacentral:rRNA from 1 species